UGGGGAAUAUUGCACAAUGGGCGCAAGCCUGAUGCAGCAAUGCCGCGUGAGUGAAGACGGCCUUAGGGUUGUAAAACUCUUUCGCUAGGGAAGAUAAUGACGGUACCUAGUAAAGAAGUCCCGGCUAACUCCGUGCCAGCAGCCGCGGUAAUACGGAGGGGGUUAGCGUUGUUCGGAAUUACUGGGCGUAAAGCGCACGUAGGCGGACCAGAAAGUUGGGGGUGAAAUCCCGGGGGCUCAACCCCGGAACUGCCUCCAAAACUAUUGGUCUAGAGUUCGAGAGAGGUGAGUGGAAUUCCAAGUGUAGAGGUGAAAUUCGUAGAUAUUUGGAGGAACACCAGUGGCGAAGGCGGCUCACUGGCUCGAUACUGACGCUGAGGUGCGAAAGUGUGGGGAGCAAAACAGGAUUAGAUACCCUGGUAGUCCACACCGUAAAACGAUGAAUGCCAGUCGUCGGGUAGCAUGCUAUUCGGUGACACACCUAACGGAUUAAGCAUUCCCGCCUGGGGAGUACGGUCGCAAGAUUAAAA
rnacentral:rRNA from 1 species